rnacentral:rRNA from 1 species
GGUUACCGUAGGUGAACCUGCGGUAGGAUCAUUG